rnacentral:rRNA from 1 species
GAUGAACGCUAGCGGCAGGCUUAACACAUGCAAGUCGAGGGGUAGAGGAAGCUUGCUUCCUUGAGACCGGCGCACGGGUGCGUAACGCGUAUGCAAUCUACCUUUUGCAGAGGGAUAGCCCAGAGAAAUUUGGAUUAAAUACCUCAUAGUAUAGUACUUUGGCAUCAAGGAACUAUUAAAGUUACAACGGCAAAAGAUGAGCAUGCGUCCCAUUAGCUAGAUGGUAAGGUAACGGCUUACCAUGGCUACGAUGGGUAGGGGUCCUGAGAGGGAGAUCCCCCCACACUGGUACUGAGACACGGACCAGACUCCUACGGGAGGCAGCAGUGAGGAAUAUUGGUCAAUGGACGCAAGUCUGAACCAGCCAUGCCGCGUGCAGGAUGACGGUCCUAUGGAUUGUAAACUGCUUUUGUACAGGAAGAAACACUCCCUCGUGAGGGANCUUGACGGUACUGUAAGAAUAAGGGAUCGGCUAACUCCGUGCCCAGCACG